AUGAACGCUGGCGGCGUGCUUAACACAUGCAAGUCGAACGGAAAGGCCCAAGCUUGCUUGGGUACUCGAGUGGCGAACGGGUGAGUAACACGUGGGUGAUCUGCCCUGCACUUCGGGAUAAGCCUGGGAAACUGGGUCUAAUACCGGAUAGGACCACUUCUUGGAUGUUGUGGUGGAAAGUUUUCUCGGUGUGGGAUGAGCUCGCGGCCUAUCAGCUUGUUGGUGGGGUAAUGGCCUACCAAGGCGACGACGGGUAGCCGGCCUGAGAGGGUGUACGGCCACAUUGGGACUGAGAUACGGCCCAGACUCCUACGGGAGGCAGCAGUGGGGAAUAUUGCACAAUGGGCGCAAGCCUGAUGCAGCGACGCCGCGUGGGGGAUGACGGCCUUCGGGUUGUAAACUCCUUUCGCUAGGGACGAAGCGUUUUUGUGACGGUACCUGGAGAAGAAGCACCGGCUAACUACGUG
rnacentral:rRNA from 1 species